rnacentral:rRNA from 1 species
AGAGCGAACGCUGGCGGCAGGCUUAACACAUGCAAGUCGAGCGGAUGUAGCAAUACAUCAGCGGCAGACGGGUGAGUAACACGUGGGAACGUACCUUUUGGUUCGGAACAACACAGGGAAACUUGUGCUAAUACCGGAUAAGCCCUUACGGGGAAAGAUUUAUCGCCGAAAGAUCGGCCCGCGUCUGAUUAGCUAGUUGGUGAGGUAAUGGCUCACCAAGGCGACGAUCAGUAGCUGGUCUGAGAGGAUGAUCAGCCACAUUGGGACUGAGACACGGCCCAAACUCCUACGGGAGGCAGCAGUGGGGAAUAUUGGACAAUGGGCGCAAGCCUGAUCCAGCCAUGCCGCGUGAGUGAUGAAGGCCCUAGGGUUGUAAAGCUCUUUGUGCGGAAGAUAAUGACGGUACCGCAAGAAUAAGCCCGGCUAACUUCGUGCCAGCAGCCGC